CGCGUGUGGCGGAAGCGCCGG
rnacentral:miRNA from 1 species